UUCCGGUUGAUCCCGCCGGACCCCACUGCUAUCGAGGUGGGACUAAGCCAUGCUAGUUGAGCGCACAGAACUAUGUCUGUGAGCGGCACACUGCUCAGUAACACGUAGCUAACCUACCCUUAGGACGUGGACAACCCCGAGAAAUUGGGGCUAAUCCGCGAUAGAUGUAUUGUCCUGGAAUGGGAUUACGUCUAAAGGUAUCCCAUACAUGUUUGGUAUACGCCUAAGGAUGGGGCUGCGGCCGAUCAGGCUGUUGGUGAGGUAAUGGCUCACCAAACCUUUGACCGGUACGGGCCAUGAGAGUGGAAGCCCGGAGAUGGACACUGAGACAAGGGUCCAGGCCCUACGGGGCGCAGCAGGCGCGAAACCUCCUCAAUGCACUUACGUGCGAAGGGGCUACCUCGAGUGCCACCUGAUGAAGGUGGCUUUUCCUAGGUCUAAAAAGCCUUGGGAAUAAGAGGGGGGCAAGACUGGAGUCAGCCGCCGCGGUAACACCAGCCCCUCGAGUGGAGGGGAUGAUUAUUGGGCCUAAAGCGUCCGCAGCCUGCCGUAUAAGUUUCCCGCUAAAUCCAGCGUCUCAAGCGUUGCACUGCGGGAAAUACUGUACGGCUAGAGAGUGGGAGAGGACAGC
rnacentral:rRNA from 1 species